AUACAGAGGGUGCGAGCGUUAAUCGGAAUUACUGGGCGUAAAGCGCGCGUAGGCGGCUUAUUAAGUCAGAUGUGAAAUCCCUGGGCUCAACCUAGGAACUGCAUCUGAUACUGGGUAACUAGAGUUUUGGAGAGGUAAGUGGAAUUUCCGGUGUAGCGGUGAAAUGCAUAGAGAUCGGAAGGAACACCAGUGGCGAAGGCGACUUACUGGCCAAAAACUGACGCUGAGGUGCGAAAGCGUGGGUAGCAAACGGGAUUAGAUACCCUAGUAGUCC
rnacentral:rRNA from 1 species